AACGAACGCUGGCGGCAGGCCUAACACAUGCGAGUCGAGCGAGGACUUCGGUCCUAGCGGCGGACGGGUGAGUAACGCGUGGGAACGUGCCCUUUGCUACGGAAUAGCCCCGGGAAACUGGGAGUAAUACCGUAUGUGCCCUUCGGGGGAAAGAUUUAUCGGCAAAGGAUCGGCCCGCGUUGGAUUAGGUAGUUGGUGGGGUAAUGGCCUACCAAGCCGAUGAUCCAUAGCUGGUUUGAGAGGAUGAUCAGCCACACUGGGACUGAGACACGGCCCAGACUCCUACGGGAGGCAGCAGUGGGGAAUCUUAGACAAUGGGGGAAACCUUGAUCUAGCCAUGCCGCGUGAGCGAUGAAGGCCUUAGGGUUGUAAAGCUCUUUCAGUGGGGAAGAUAUUGACGGUACCUCAUGAAUAAGGGGCUCCUAACUCUGUGCCAGCCGCCGCUGUAACAC
rnacentral:rRNA from 1 species